GCAAACUUGGUCAUUUAGAGGAAGUAAAAGUCGUAACAAGGUUUCCGUAGGUGAACCUGCGGAAGGAUCAUUGCUGGUUUUCUUCGGGCGCUCCGUCGUCCCGAGGUUUUCCUUAUUUUUCACCAACCCCGUGUGCACCCUCCGAGGGGUGUGUCCUCUCACCUUGCCUGAAACCGGGCUCGGUGUUGUGGACCCCUUUCGUUUCACAUCAAACACCUUAGUGUAAAAACGGAACGUAUGGGUUUUAUAAAUGAAAUUACAACUUUCGACAACGGAUCUCUUGGCUCUCGCAUCGAUGAAGAACGCAGC
rnacentral:misc_RNA from 1 species